GAGUACCUCUCCUGUGGGUGACCGCAUAAUGCCAUGACAAGACAAAGUGGGAGAGGGAGACUGCAUGCCACAUGCAGGCUUAUAUAGGUCAGGGAUGGGGCAGUGUGGGGACGGCAGAGAGACGGGGAGAGGGCAUUUUGUGGGCAACCAUAACUCUGGGAGCAUGUGGCUUAAAAUCGUAUCUGCCGUGGAAGGGACCUUGCUGAUCGCGGUGUGCAACUGGCUAACCUUCUAUUCGGAGAUCAGAAGCCACAGUCUACUGAAAUAAUCAGUCUCUCUGUUGACUAUCCAAAGUCCUUGCGUAGUAGCCUCCUCAUUGAUUGAAGACCUUUCAACUCUUUGGCCUCCAAAAGCAAGCCUGAAGUGACUCACCGUUCCAAAAAACUUGGGCUUGGCUGGUGAUAAGAGGGUUUCAAAAAUAUUAGUAAUUGUUAAUAUCAUCUUCUGGAACAAAGCACUUCCCAGUAAAGACGGCAGGGAGAUUCCAUCAAGAUAAUGGAUUAAAACCGAGGAACAAAAAAACCUCAGCUCCAUGUAGGAUGGUGAUGGGAUCUGAAACUCAACUAUCUGAAGAAUGAUUAAAGAAAGAUCCAGGGUUUAAUUAAGAGAGGUAGACGGGUGCCUUCAAACAACCAAAAGACUGUGAUGUGGGAGGGAUAUUUUACAGUUGAAACACACAAACAGGUUGUUUAGCUGAUGACGCUCUCUGUCGUCAGAUGGAGAUCAGCAGCUGUGCAAAUUCCAUGCUGCUUUCAGGGCUGAGCUGGAGCUCAGAGAUGUAAACAGUGUGAGCUGGUCACACCACGUGCAAAGGCCCGCCCAAUCCCCUACCGCUCUUCCAGAGAAGUUCCAGGCUUCCCAGAGCCCAGGAGAGAGCAACCACAUCAGGGCUUCCGGGCCCAUCAGAGUCCAGGGGCCUCCUGAACAGCUACUAAUUUGGCUCUCAAAGGCAGAAUGCUCACUUCGAAAACAAAAAGGACCCCAGCUUUGUUAGAAGACUGAUGGAUGAAAGAUCUAUCUCCUGGGCUAGACUCACUACGGGCAAGAACUGAAAUUUUAAGAAGCUAAAAAGAACUAACAUGCAGUGAGAAAUAUGAAUGCUCCCAUGGAACACUCUCUACUAUGGCAGACCUACGGGAUGUCUUAGCUCAUCAGCCCAAGACCAACAGGAACAGAUCUGACAUCUAAAAAAAAAAAAAAAUCACAUUUCUCACAAUGUAAAAGCAUUGUAAUGUGAAAGGCUGAACUCCAGA